CCAAUCAAACCGGGAGAUAGCUGGUUCUCCCCGAAAGCUAUUUAGGUAGCGCCUCGUGAAUUCAUCUCCGGGGGUAGAGCACUGUUUCGGCUAGGGGGCCAUCCCGGCUUACCAACCCGAUGCAAACUGCGAAUACCGGAGAAUGUUAUCACGGGAGACACACGGCGGGUGCUAACGUCCGUCGUGAAGAGGGAAACAACCCAGACCGCCAGCUAAGGUCCCAAAGUCAUGGUUAAGUGGGAAACGAUGUGGGAAGGCCCAGACAGCCAGGAUGUUGGCUUAGAAGCAGCCAUCAUUUAAAGAAAGCGUAAUAGCUCACUGGUCGAGUCGGCCUGCGCGGAAGAUGUAACGGGGCUAAACCAU
rnacentral:rRNA from 1 species